rnacentral:rRNA from 1 species
AUUGAACGCUGGCGGCAGGCCUAACACAUGCAAGUCGAACGAGUGGCGGACGGGUGAGUAAUGUCUGGGACACUGCCUGAUGGAGGGGGAUAACUACUGGAAACGGUAGCUAAUACCGCAUACCAUCAGAUGUGCCCAGAUGGGAUUAGCUAGUUGGUGGGGUAACGGCUCACCAAGGCGACGAACCCUAGCUGGUCUGAGAGGAUGACCGGCCACACUGGAACAGAGACACUGUCCAGGCGCCGACGGGAGGGAGCAGUGGGGAAUGUUGCACAAUGGGCGCAAGCCUGAUGCAGCCAUGCCGCGUGUAUGAAGAAGGCCUUCGAGUUGUAAAGUACUUUCAGCGGAGAGGCGUUACCCGCAGAAGAAGCACCGGCUAACUCCGUGCCAGCAGCCGCGGUAAUUC